GACGAACGCUGGCGGCGUGCUUAACACAUGCAAGUCGAACGGAAAGGCCCUGCCUUUGUGGGGUGCUCGAGUGGCGAACGGGUGAGUAACACGUGAGUAACCUGCCCUUGACUUUGGGUUAACUUCCGGAAACUGGGGCUAUUACCCGAUCGGAGCUCCUGCGGCAUGGUGGGGGUUGGAAAGCUUAGGCGGUUGGGGAUGGAUGCGGGGGUUUUCCGCUUGUUGGUGGGGUAGUGGCUUACAAAGGCCGUGACGGGUAGGCGACCUGAGGGGGGGACCAGGGACAAGGCGACUGAGAGACGGCGCAGACGCGUACGGGGGGCAGCAGGGGAGAAUAUUGCACAAUGAGCGGAAGUCUGAUGCAGCAGCGCCGGGGUCGUGAAGACGGCCUGCGGGGAGUAAACCGCUUUCGCCUGUGACGAUGCGUGAGUGACGGUAAUGGAUAAAGAAGCACCGGCUAACUACGUG
rnacentral:rRNA from 1 species